rnacentral:rRNA from 1 species
UGCGAGGAAUGUAUAGCGAUAGCUAAUUGCAUCGAAAAUAUGAUGCAAGAUCGAUUUAUUGAAUAAAAUUCUGGGUAGAAUUAUGAUUAUGACAUUGUCUACCCAUGUGUCUUGACCAAAUUACGUGCCAGCAGUCGCGGUAAUACGUAGAAGACUAGUGUUAUUCAUCUUUAAUAGGUUUAAAGGGUACCUAGACGGUAAAUCAAGCCCUAGACGGGACUAAUUUGCUAGAGUUACUUGUGAGGGGGUUUUAAAGUACUAAUGGUGUAGAGAUGAAAUUUUGUAAUACCAUUUUUCGAAAGGAAAGUAAUGGCACAGGUAUAGGCGAAAGCAUCCCCUUAUGUGAUAACUGACGUUGAAGGACGAAGGCUUUGAGUCGCGAACAGGAUUAGAUACCCUGGUAGUCAAAGCAGAAAAUAAUGAGUGUCAUAGAUUAGAUAUUAAAGUUUAUUCUAUAAAUGAAAGUGUAAGCACUCCACCUCAAGAGUAAUUUGGCAACAUUGGAACUGAAAUCAUUAGACCGUUUCUGAAACCAGUAGUGAAGUAUGUUGUUUAAUUUGAUAAUCCGCAAAAAACCUUACCACAAUUUGAAUAUUUAUAUCGUUGAUAUAAUUACAAGCGUUGCACGGCUGUCUUCAGUUAAUGUCGUGAGAUUUUGGUUAGAUCCAUUAAAUUAACGCAAGCCCUUACUUUAUUUUAAAAUAAAGUCGUUCCCCACUAGAUUGGAUAAGAUAACAGGGAUUAAGACAAGUCAUCAUGGCCUGAAUAUUGUGGGC